rnacentral:rRNA from 1 species
AUUCCUACGGGAGGCAGCAGUGGGGAAUAUUGGACAAUGGGCGAAAGCCUGAUCCAGCAAUGCCGCGUGAGUGAUGAAGGCCUUAGGGUUGUAAAGCUCUUUUACCAGGGAUGAUAAUGACAGUACCUGGAGAAUAAGCUCCGGCUAACUCCGUGCCAGCAGCCGCGGUAAUACGGGGGGAGCUAGCGUUGUUCGGAAUUACUGGGCGUAAAGCGCGCGUAGGCGGUUAUCCAAGUCAGGGGUGAAAUCCCGGAGCUCAACUCCGGAACUGCCCUUGAAACUAGGUGACUAGAAUAUUGGAGAGGUAAGUGGAAUUCCGAGUGUAGAGGUGAAAUUCGUAGAUAUUCGGAAGAACACCAGUGGCGAAGGCGACUUACUGGACAAUUAUUGACACUGAGGUGCGAAAGUGUGGGGAGCAAACAGGAUUAGAUACCCUGGUAGUCCACACCGUAAACGAUGAAUGCCAGUCGUCGGCAAGCAUGCUUGUCGGUGACACACCUAACGGAUUAAGCAUUCCGCCUGGGGAGUACGGUCGCAAGAUUAAAACUCAAAUGAAUUGACGGAAU